rnacentral:rRNA from 1 species
UACGUAGGGUGCAAGCGUUGUCCGGAAUCAUUGGGCGUAAAGCGCACGUAGGCGGCCUGUUAAGUCGGAUGUGAAAGCCCCGGGCUCAACCCGGGAAGUGCAUUCGAAACUGGCGGGCUUGAAUAUGGAAGAGGGUCGCGGAAUUCCCGGUGUAGAGGUGAAAUUCGUAGAUAUCGGGAGGAACACCAGUGGCGAAGGCGGCGACCUGGGCCAAUAUUGACGCUGAGGUGCGAAAGCGUGGGGAGCAAACAGG